rnacentral:rRNA from 1 species
GAUGAACGCUGGCGGCGUGCCUAAUACAUGCAAGUCGAGCGAACGGACGAGAAGCUUGCUUCUCUGACGUUAGCGGCGGACGGGUGAGUAACACGUGGAUAACCUCCCUAUAAGACUGGGAUAACUUCGGGAAACCGUAGCUAAUACCGGAUAAUAUUUUGAACCGCAUGGUUCAAAAGUGAAAGACGGUCUUGCUGUCACUUAUAGAUGGUUCCGCGCUGCAUUAGCUAGUUGGUAAGGUAACGGCUUACCAAGGCAACGAUGCAUAGCCGACCUGAGAGGGUGAUCGGCCACACUGGAACUGAGACACGGUCCAGACUCCUACGGGAGGCAGCAGUAGGGAACCUUCCGCAAUGGGCGAAAGCCUGACGGAGCAACGCCGCGUGAGUGAUGAAGGUCUUCGGAUCGUAAAACUCUGUUAUUAGGGAAGAACAUAUGUGUAAGUAACUGUGCACAUCUUGACGGUACCUAAUCAGAAAGCCACGGCUAACUACGUG